UACAACGUCUAACAAGUAAAAUAGAGAGAGAAAUAGACACAUAAUUUAUACUGGUUGCUUCCUCUUUUGAAUUCAGAUUCAUAUACCACCUUCAAUCACUUUCUUCAACUCCAAUAAUCAUCAUACACUUAUGCAUUUAGCCGUUGUCCUCUUCCUCUCCUUAAUUCAACUUGGAGCUAGGAAGAAAGUGAGCAACUGGUAUCAAGAGCACAAGGUUCAUGCUCCAACUAGCUAAGUCUUCAUACUUGAGUUGAAAUUUCUUUUUUCUAUACAUUUUGGUGUUGUAUACAUGAUCUUUACAUUUCCUGAAGUUCUUUCACCGGUUCAAUUGUUGUUUCAUCCCUUAUUCGGUUCAAAUGCAUGUAUUCUUAUUGGACCAUCUGAAACUCACAAAAAUAGGUGUUAUUCUUCAUGACCGUGUGUUGCUUUAAAUAUUUUUUAGUCUUAUUUCAAUUUUAAUCGGUUAUUCUUAGAACAGUUUAAUUUUCAUUUUAUAAUACAUUCCAUUCAUGUUCUAGGUCAUGUGUACCCUUUAAUUGUCAUAACUUGUUUGAUGAAAUUCUUACCUGUUGUUUGCAAUCUGUUUGAUAAAAUGCUUCAAAUAAAUUUUGGUAUUGCGUUGUGUGAUUUUUGUUCUGACUUUGAGUUCCAUAUCUUAUUAAUAGAUGAUUAAUAAUCUUCUUAGAGUUAUGAUUCUCUUUUUUCUUGAUUAGUUUGUUCAAUUUUCGUGAACUCUUUUAGGUUUCCUUCUCGCUAGAAGUUUGAGUGAAAAUUACACUGGACUGGAAAAAUUAUUCCGAGAAAUUGAUUUAAUAAUUUUGAGUAAAAUUUUAGGUUUGUGCACUUCAAUAUAUGGUAAAUAUUUUGUUAAAACGACGCAUCCAAAUUCAAUAUAGAAAAAAAUCAUAUAUGAUAAAACCCCGAAUGCAAGGGCUAGAAAAUUUUUGAACACGGUACGCGUUUGCUCUCGAAAAAAAAUUAUUUGGACAAAUCCAGUGGCGUCUCUCUUCAAAUUUUCUUAUGACUAGAUCAUAAAGGCCUUAAAAAAUUAUGGUGAAAAUUUCAAGGUCAAAAUCAAUAAAACAAAAAUUAUAUAAAUCUUUCAAGCAUUACUACAGAAGUACGCUAGUCUUAUUUUGGUUUGUAAUAUACUCUAGAACCAUUCUUAGGCUUUCUUUUGGUGUACUAACCUUUAUUCUGUACUUUAAUUUCAUUAUUGUCAAUUUUAUAAAAAAAAAUUGAGUUUUGUCACUACCUAAUUGCCUUUGAGUUUAGCUUUCCAAAAUUGAACUUUUGUUGACCUCUUGGAAGUGAUUACAUUUUUGUAGAAGAAAAUUUAGUUUAAGGGAGGAAAAAAGUCAAUUCUUGAUUGGAGUCCCAUGGCCAAAGCAUAAGCAAGAGGAGUUCACUAAAGAGAAGCUUCCAAGUGAAGUUGGAUUUGAAAGAGAGCUAAACACAAAGUGAAGAAGGAAUGCAAACACCAGGAGAUUGCAACUUUUCUUUUGUACUAAUUGUUUUGUAAAAGUUACUUGUUCUAUUAAAUAGUGG
rnacentral:lncRNA from 1 species